GAAGGAAGGAAGGAAGGAAGAAAAAAAGGGUUUAUGUAUUCUGUUGGAAUUUAAAUCUUUGUCACUUAGGUUGAAGGAAAGCUUUGACUAACUCCUCAGUCUGCAAAAAGACCCCUGAUUAUUCUGACCCAAUUAUUUUGGAUAGCAAAAGUCUACCAAGUGGGACAGUGAAUGUUCUUUUUGGAGAUUUUUAUGAUUUACUGGCUGUGUUCUGCUGGUCCAAGGAUGAACUCAGGUUUUGUGUUUUACUUUCCAAAGUACAGAAUCUAGAAAAAUAGGAGAUAUACAAGAAGCAGAAUUCAGGAUCACUGAACUAACAAAGCAACACCCAGAAGUGCAGAGCAGAAGACUAGACCAGUCCCCAAGCAUUUUCAGGCAUGGUCUCUCAUUGACCUAGAGUUCUCCAAGUAGGCUGGGUUGCUGACUAAAGAACCCAAGGGAUUUGCCUAUUUCUGCCUUUUCAGCUCUGGGAUUACGAGUGCAGGCUACCACACCCAGCAAUUAUUGUAUGUGGGUUGUGGGAAUCAAACUCAGGCUCUCUUGCUUGCAAGGUGCGCUCACUGGCUAAGACGUUUGAACCCUGCCUGUGACUGCUGGGAAUGUUGGAAGGCACGCCCUUCUGCAACACGGUGAACAAACUUCGGAGGGGUAUUUUCAGGAGGCCAUUCCAGGAAUUUGUCUUAAGGAAAUAAGCAGCCAGCUGCACACAGAUCUGUGCAGAAGAAGCCUAAGUAUGGUGUUAUUUGUAUCAUUGCUUGAAUAUGUAGGGGAGAAAAUGACAACUGCUAUUGUCAUUAUGCAGUUCUUAGUCA